CAGGCUGCUCGGGGGACGGUUAGCCCCUUCCUUUUUAGGAAGGGGGUGGUAGGAUGACUAUUUACGAAGCAUUGACAUUUGCGGUCGCAUUUGCCACGCUCAUGGUAUUGGUCACGACCAGAAAGAAAUAACCGCCCCUGCUCAAAAGCGGCGGUUAUUUCUCAAUAACUAACGAUUUGGGCUAACCGUUUUCCGGUUAGACAGCCUGUGGGGCUGGCGUGCUAGCAACACGUCAG
rnacentral:sRNA from 1 species